GCUUGUUGAAAAACCUGCUAUCUGGGCUUGUGGGGACCAAGAAACGCUUCGAUUAGGGUUCUUUAGCUACUAUAAGCUUGUGGUUGUGAAUCCUCUUCCCACUCAACUCUAAAAUCGACACGAAUGUUGAGUUAGUGGUGUUAUAAGUAACCGAGCACGUACAUGGAGAAGCGACCAAUUUAACUCUGAUGUCUUGGGAUGUUGCUGGUGAUGGGAUUUAUUAGUACUUUGUCUGAAGAGGAUUUCAUCGUGCGAGGUGGAGAUCGUACUGGAACUAGUUUUGUAGAUGGGGAAAGACGCUAAAGCUGGUGGAAAGGGUAAGGGAAAGCAAGCUGGUGGCAGUGAUGAAGCGUCCUCUAAGGGUAAAGGCAAAGCUGGGAAAGCUGCUGAUGGUCUAGGAACAUGCACUUAUGUUAAAGAUUUUUUUUUUCAGUUCAUCUGUCUCUAAUACUUGUGUUCUUGUACGUUCUUAUACAG